rnacentral:pre_miRNA from 1 species
UCUAGAACUCGAGAUAUGGGCUGAACACUGAACAGUGUCGAGGCUGUAGGACAGAUUCCGACUUCUCUGUUGUUGCUACCAUUUGAACUUGAAAAUAGUCCUUUUGAAUCUUGGACUCCUCAUGAAAGUUUUAGGCCUAUGUCUUAGCUUUCUAUC